UGGGGGUCUGAGAAAGUGAGGCAGCUCUGCACCAUGCUGCCUUCCACCGGUUAAGGCCUCCGACAGCAAACGGUUGCCCAGGCAGAGAAUGUCCCUUUGCUACCCUCAGAGGGACAGCACUGUCUUGGUCAACAUUUA
rnacentral:snoRNA from 13 species